rnacentral:tRNA from 1 species
GCCGUGGUGGUGCAGUGGUCAGCACACCCGAUCCUUUACCCACAUUCUUUGAAUUCGUUCGCUUGCUUGAAACACACUCUUUCAAGGGUCAGGAGGUCGUUGGUUCGAAUCCAACUCACGGCG